CCGCUCUUUUAUAUAUUUUAAAUCCAGUAAUGAGUGUGUAUUUUUGUUCAUCAGUGAAUGAAAAUGGAUAUUAUUCUGAUAUGAAUUCAGCUUAUGAUCCUGAAUUUAUAUUGUUAAAGCAGUCAAUGAUAUUAUUUCAGAGUUAUAACUGACUUAGCAAAGUCACGUUAUUUAUUUAAGCGAGAUGGAAUUAGAUUUUAUUCUUACUCAAGUUGUGGAUUAUUUCAGACUCGUGAGUUAAUUAAAUCUGCGGAUUUAAUUUAGAUAUCAGAUCAAUGAACGAAUUAAAUCUACGGAUUUAAUUUAGAUUCAUUUUAUAACUUAUCGUUUUUAGUAAGAUAUCACAUGUCGAAAUCGGGAUUUAUUUAAAUAAACAGUACAAGCAAAUAUGAGCACGUGAUUCACUUUACAGUUACAGAAUCACCGAGUCAGAGAAAAUACAUCAAUAAUUCUCCUCUACAUUUUUUUUUUCCUUUCUUUUUCUUCUCUUUUUCUUUCCAUUAAACUUUGUUCCCCAACUUCUAUACACCACUAUCAUUAUGUUUUUCUUUCUUUUUCCCCACCAUUACACUCAAGUCUUCACCAAUGAAUUAUUAGUAUCAACCCCAGCCAACAAACUCCCUACUUCAUUCACUGUCCGUCAAGUUUCAAGGGGAGUAAAGUACUCUUCUUCUUGCCAAACUUCAAGGAGGUAAGCCUUCUUUGAAUUCUCUUUAAUGCACUCAGGAUUCCACCUACAUUUAUGAACAGCAACUUGGUUAUUUCAGUUCAUUUUGCUGCAUAUAAUCCAACAACGAAACAGCCAUUCAACAAGACAUUCAAGGUCAAGCACGAGAUUAAUAAUCAGUCAAGGAGCUACUGUACCACAAAAAGUUUCUAACAGGUUGAGCAGCUGCCGAUGGUGAUGAAGUGACGAGCGGGAUUCUUUUGUCUUAUUAUGUAUUAAUGAACUCUAGGGUUACAUGUCUUCAUACAUGUAAUCAGAAUCAUAUUCCGCUGCGUACUCAGAAGUUUUAUGUUUAUUUGGCUAAGUCAGAGAUAUCUGAACUUACUAGUUAUUUGAGUCUAUACGACUAAACUUCUGUUAUAUUAUAAAUAUUCCUUUUGUUAAAUUAUGAAA